rfam:Medicago truncatula strain A17 unplaced genomic scaffold scaffold1058, whole genome shotgun sequence.
AAACCAUGGUGGGGACAAAGUCUAAGCAUUUCCUUGAAACGCUCUCACGCAUCAUAAAGAGACUCCCCAUAUUUUUGAUUGAAACAUGUGAUUUGGUCUCUUAAUUU